GCCGAUGUAGCUCAGCUGGUAGAGCAACGGUUUUGUAAACCGUAGGUCGUAGGUUCAAAUCCUAUCGUCGGCU
rnacentral:tRNA from 1 species